rnacentral:lncRNA from 1 species
AUCAAAUGUAAACUUUGAAGUUAGUAUUGAGGAAAUCAAAAAUUUCUCAGACAGUAUAGUUUAAUUGAAUUAUAUUAAGUCUAAUAACAAAAUUAUUAACCCUUUAUUUUAAAUGGCCUCCGUAAUUUUUGUGUGUGUGUUUGUAUUACAAGCUCACUUAAAGUAUCAGUGAAUGAAGAAAAUUGUUCAGCUUUCUAGUGAUACUUUGGAUUUGUUGGAUGAUAUCAUGGAUCUGAGGACUGAUGUUGCAAGAUGGAUAUGACUAUUCGUGAUUAAAUAAUGACAACCAGUGAAGAUCUCAAGACUUGGGAUGACUUGGCCUCCAGUGUUGCAAAAAAAUAGUGUCGAAUGCCAGGAAAUUCCAUAUCGUCUGAAUUUAUAACUUUCAGGAAAUAUGUUACCUGAAAUCAAAUGGCUGCUGGAUUCUGCAAACCUGACUUGUUGAAGAUACACAACACUCAGCUUGAGCUCAUGCCGAAUGGGAAAUUGUGGACCGCCACUGACUAUGCUUGUGAAGAACAAGCUACUGCAAGCUUGUUGCACAAGAGGAUGCCGAGUCACGUCCUGGUGAUGUCAACACAGACAACACCCAUCUUAGGACUUGAUGCCCAUGGCCUCCUGGAGAAUGUCGCAUAGCCCGAUGGAUGAAGAUAUAGGGACUAUCAUCACUUCACCACAGAAUUUGGAAUCCAUCUGAUGGACCUGUAUGGCACUCCCGACCAUAUCCUGGCACACAGUAACAUUGGGAAGCGUGCGCCAUGCAGUAUUGGUGUUCGCCUUGCCAGCCUCUGAGACGUAGAGCGCUGUUUAGAACUUAUGG